rnacentral:rRNA from 1 species
GUGGGGAAUUUUGGACAAUGGGCGCAAGCCUGAUCCAGCGACGCCGCGUGGAGGACGAAGGCCUUCGGGUUGUAAACUCCUUUUGGAGGGGAAGAAUAAAUUGACGGUACCCUCAGCAAAAGCCACGGCUAACUACGUGCCAGCAGCCGCGGUAAUACGUAGGUGGCGAGCGUUACUCGGAAUUACUAGGCGUAAAGCGUAUGUAGGUGGUUAGAUAAGUCUAUGGUGAAAUUUCCUGGCUUAACUGGGAAGGGACAUAGAUACUAUCUGGCUUGAGUGUGGGAGGGGGAGACGGAAUUCCUGGUGUAGCGGUGAAAUGCGUAGAUAUCAGGAGGAACACCGAUGGCGAAAGCAGUCUCCUGGCCCAAUACUGACACUGAGGUACGAAAGCUAGGGUAGCAAACAGGAUUAGAAACCCCGGUAGUCC